UCUGAGAGGACGAUCAGCCACACUGGAACUGAGAUACGGUCCAGACUCCUACGGGAGGCAGCAGUGGGGAAUCUUGCGCAAUGGGCGAAAGCCUGACGCAGCAACGCCGCGUGUGUGAUGAAGGUCUUCGGAUCGUAAAGCACUGUCGGGAGGGACGAAUAAGUCCCGGGUGAACAAUCCGGGGCGACGACGGUACCUCCAAAGGAAGCACCGGCUAACUCUGUGCCAGCAGCCGCGG
rnacentral:rRNA from 1 species